rnacentral:rRNA from 1 species
GACGAACGCUGGCGGCGUGCCUAAUACAUGCAAGUCGAGCGAAUCAAUAGGAGCUUGCUCCUGUUGGUUAGCGGCGGACGGGUGAGUAACACGUGGGCAACCUGCCUGUAAGACUGGGAUAACACCGGGAAACCGGUGCUAAUACCGGAUAAUCCUUUUCCUCUCAUGAGGAAAAGCUGAAAGUCGGUUUCGGCUGACACUUACAGAUGGGCCCGCGGCGCAUUAGCUAGUUGGUGAGGUAACGGCUCACCAAGGCGACGAUGCGUAGCCGACCCGAAAGGGUGAUCGGCCACACUGGGACUGAGACACGGCCCAGACUCCUACGGGAGACAGCAGGAGGGAAUCUUCCACAAUGGACGAAAGUCUGAUGGGGCAACGCCGCGUGAGCGAUGAAGGCCUUCGGGUCGUAAAGCUCUGUUGUUAGGGAAGAACAAGUACCGGAGUAACUGCCGGUACCUUGACGGUACCUAACCAGAAAGCCACGGCUAACUACGUGCCAGCCGCCGCCGUAAUAC